rnacentral:misc_RNA from 1 species
GAUGAAGAACGCAGUGAAACGCGAUAAGUAAUGUGAAUUGCAGAAUUCAGUGAAUCAUCGAAUCUUUGAACGCACAUUGCGCCCCUUGGUAUUCCGAGGGGCAUGCCUGUUCGAGCGUCAUUAUAACCCUCAAGCUCAGCUUGGUGUUGGGGCCUGCUGCACUGGCAGCCCUUAAAAUCAGUGGCGGCGCCAUCUGGCUCUAAGCGUAGUAAUUCUUCUCGCUAUGGAGUCCUGGUGGAUGCUUGCCAUCAACCCCCAAUUUUUCUAUGGUUGACCUCGGAUCAGGUAGGGAUACCCGCUGAACUUAAGCAUAUCAAUAAGCGGAGGA